AUUUGAGAUUCCUAAGUUCUUAAUGAUGCUUGUUGUAACACCCCAGAGAAUUUUCGAACCAAGACUCGAGCCAUCCUUCAUGUGGAGUGGGAUUUUACCGAGCAAUAAAAAUUUAUUGAGUGUUAAGUUAAGGUCCCUAGGUGUAGCACAUUGAGUUCCAAGAAGAGUUGAAUUGGAAAUAGUCAUUUUGGAAAGAAUCUGGAAAAUUUGGCUAUGGAAAAAAGGUGAGUUUUUGGUCAACUUUGAGCAGUCGUAUCUCCUAGCUCAAAAUGAUUUAGGCGAAUUUCCAGUUAUGUCUGGAAAGCCCUUGGAAUGAUCUUUCCAACGCCGCCGAGUUUGCUUGAUUCUGAGUUCGUAUGAGUGACUUAUGCCCUUUGGAAGUUGGGUUGUUGGCAUAGUCGCACAGUCGCACAGUCGCACAGUGCAGUUUGUUUAGUCCGAAAAUUUUAAGGGUAUUUUGGUCUUUUCCCUAAUCUUUUCUUUGGGUUAUAUUGAGGUGUUAGACUGAUGUUUGGAUCAUUUUUGUCCCAUUUUAAAGAGUGAGAGUAAGAGUGAGAGUUAGGGCUUGGAAGAUAAGAGAGAAAGAAGAGGAAAAGAAGAGGAGAAAGAGAAGAAGAAGCUAAGGAUCGUCGUGGAUUUUCGUCGGGGGUGAUCCCUAAUCAGACACAGGUAUUCAGGAUCAUCAACAGGAGAUUCGUUGAUACAUCCGGGAGUUCCAGUUAGCUAUGACAAGCCUCUUUGCUUCCGGAGGAUUUCAUUUACCUUUCAGUUGUAUCAGUUGUUAGGAGGUCGUGGGUCUUGUCCCGGCUUCCAUCUUUAUCAGUUAGAGGCUUCAUAGAUAGACAAUAGAGUUUCAGAAGUCUCUUCAUUUAUUUUGUUAAAUGUUUUGAAGACUAAAGUUGCCUUUUAUGGCGAGUUGUAUAUAUAU